AGAGGGCUGAAUGGUGGCGCCCUUGAGUUGGCCUAGAUGUGGUGAUUUGUUGACGGGGCGGUGGGCUUGGUAUUGCUGGUACAGGUAACUAACGCGUUUUUGUUGUUUUGGCUUGGGUACGACAACGGGCAACUUGCUGACAACUCAGACACGCAGAAAAUGGGAGGCGGAAAUAAAUAAAUGUGACAAUCGGGAAAGGAAAAGCGAAGAAUAUCAGUAAUAAAUGUCACGUUGGACGAAGCAAAACUGGGGUAGAUAGUAAUGGUAGAUGGAGAGUAUUAAGGGAUCAAAGUGAUAAAACAACGAAUGAAUAAACAAAUAUGGGUACGAAACGAAGAGGGAAAAGUGUAUCUCAAAAACGAAAAACGAUAGAUGAUAAAAAUUAAUUAAAAUAAAAGAAGAAAAAAGCUAAAAGAACGACUGAUCACCCACGCACACAGCUUCUUUAUAAUUUCAUUAGAAAAGCUGUUUGUGAUAUGCGAUUCUUGUGUCCACGACCAACCGGCCGUGUUCGUCAGGCGGGGAUGGGGAAGAGAAAGGAAAAGGAAAGAGGAAGAAAACGUCGGAGAAAAGAAUAAGACAAAGUAAUCACCAUUAUUUCCCUGGUCAACGUUCUCUUCCUUUCUUUCUUAGGCUCAAUUUCGUUCGUUUCUUAUUAGGGGCAUUAAGGCUCCCCACAUUUAACCACCCGAUCAGUCUUCAAAAAUACAUCAUCAUGGACAGCAGAAGCAGCACUAUCAACGCUUUUUUCUUUUUCUCUUCUUUCUUGGUGUUGCUGUGAGUUGCCUGAAAAUGCGGCGCUGGGUGUCCAACAGGAAUGGGCACAUAUUUUCUUAGAUCAACCAGCACGGAGUUAGAGUUUGACACACUAUCGAUCAACAGUGCUACCAGCGACUAUUAUUCUUAUUAUUGUUAUUUAUUUCCUGUUCCUCCUCUCUUCAAAGACCUCAUGGAAUCCCCGUGACGCAGUGUUCACUCCCAGAAGGUCAAGAAUUCUAUCCAGAUUGCCAGC
rnacentral:sRNA from 1 species